rnacentral:rRNA from 1 species
UGAGGGUGGCUUUUCCCCAGUGUAGCAAGCUGGGGGAAUAAGGGGAGGGCAAGUCGGGUGUCAGCCGCCGCGGUAAUACCCGCUCCCCGAGUGGUGGGGACGCUUAUUGGGCCUAAAGCAUCCGUAGCCGGCUGGGUAAGUCCCCUGUUAAAUCCAGCGAUUUAAUCGCUGGACUGCGGGGGAUACUGCCCAGCUAGGGGGCGGGAGAGGCCGGCGGUAUUCCCGGGGUAGGGAUGAAAUCCUAUAAUCCCGGGAGGACCACCAGUGGCGAAGGCUGCCGGCUGGAACGCGCCCGACGGUGAGGGAUGAAAGCUGGGGGAGCGAACCGGAUUAGAUACCCGGGUAGUCCCAGCUGUAAACGAUGCGGGCUAGGUGUUGGCACGGCUAUGAGCCGUGCCGGUGCCGCAGGGAAGCCGUUAAGCCCGCCGCCUGGGGAGUACGGCCGCAAGGCUGAAACUUAAAGGAAUUGGCGGGGGAGCACCACAAGGGGUGAAGCUUGCGGUUUAAUUGGAGUCAACGCCGGGAACCUUACCGGGGGAGACAGCAGGAUGAAGGCCAGAUUGAAGGUCUUGCCAGACAAGCUGAGAGGAGGUGCAUGGCCGUCGCCAGUUCGUGCCGUGAGGUGUCCUGUUAAGUCAGGCAACGAUCGAGACCCGCGCCCCCUGUUGCCACCGGCCUCUGCGCCGGGCACACUGGGGGGACUGCCGCCGAUAAGGCGGAGGAAGGAGCGGGCCACGGCAGGUCAGUAUGCCCCGAAUCCCCCGGGCCACACGCGAGCUGCAAUGGCAGGGACAAUGGGUUCCGACCCCGAAAGGGGGAGGCAAUCCCUAAACCCUGCCGUAGUUGGGAUCGAGGGCUGCAACCCGCCCUCGUGAAC